rnacentral:rRNA from 1 species
AUUGAACGCUGGCGGCAUGCCUUACACAUGCAAGUCGAACGGUAACGCGGGGCAACCUGGCGACGAGUGGCGAACGGGUGAGUAAUGCAUCGGAACGAGCCCAGUAGUGGGGGAUAGCCCGGCGAAAGCCGGAUUAAUACCGCAUACGACCUACGGGUGAAAGCGGGGGACCGUGAGGCCUCGCGCUAUUGGAGCGGCCGAUGUCAGAUUAGGUUGUUGGUGGGGUAAAAGCCUACCAAGCCGACGAUCUGUAGCUGGUCUGAGAGGACGACCAGCCACACUGGGACUGAGACACGGCCCAGACUCCUACGGGAGGCAGCAGUGGGGAAUUUUGGACAAUGGGGGCAACCCUGAUCCAGCCAUGCCGCGUGCGGGAAGAAGGCCUUCGGGUUGUAAACCGCUUUUGUCAGGGAAGAAACGCUCUGGGCUAAUACCCCGGGGUAAUGACGGUACCUGAAGAAUAAGCACCGGCUACCUACGUGCCAGCCGCCGCGGUAACAC